GAUGAACGCUGGCGGCGUGCCUAAUACAUGCAAGUCGAGCGAACAGACAAGGAGCUUGCUCCUCUGACGUUAGCGGCGGACGGGUGAGUAACACGUGGAUAACCUACCUAUAAGACUGGGAUAACUUCGGGAAACCGGAGCUAAUACCGGAUAAUAUAUUGAACCGCAUGGUUCAAUAGUGAAAGACGGUUUUGCUGUCACUUAUAGAUGGAUCCGCGCCGCAUUAGCUAGUUGGUAAGGUAACGGCUUACCAAGGCAACGAUGCGUAGCCGACCUGAGAGGGUGAUCGGCCACACUGGAACUGAGACACGGUCCAGACUCCUACGGGAGGCAGCAGUAGGGGAUCUUCCGCAAUGGGCGAAAGCCUGACGGAGCAACGCCGCGUGAGUGAUGAAGGUCUUCGGAUCGUAAAACUCUGUUAUUAGGGAAGAACAAAUGUGUAAGUAACUAUGCACGUCUUGACGGUACCUAAUCAGAAAGCCACGGCCAACUACGUG
rnacentral:rRNA from 1 species